rnacentral:tRNA from 1 species
GGAUUGUGGCUCAGAGGUAGAGCGCUCACCUAGCAUGUGCAGGGCCCUGGGUUCGAUUCUCAACACCA